UAACGCGUGGGCAACCUGCCCCAUAGAGGGGGACAACAGCUGGAAACGGCUGCUAAUACCGCAUAACAAGGAGAGAGCGCAUGUUCUUUUCUUCAAAGAUUUAUCGCUAUGGGAUGGACCCGCGUCUGAUUAGCUAGUUGGUGAGGUAACGGCUCACCAAGGCGACGAUCAGUAGCCGGCUUGAGAGAGUGAACGGCCACAUUGGGACUGAGACACGGCCCAGACUCCUACGGAAGGCAGCAG
rnacentral:rRNA from 1 species